GACAGAGGGGGCAAGCGUUGCUCGGAAUUACUGGGCGUAAAGGGCGCGUAGGCGGGAUGGCAGGUCGGUCGUGAAAUCCCUCGGCUCAACCGAGGAACGUCGAUCGAUACUGCUGUUCUUGAGGAUUGCAGAGGAGACUGGAAUUCCCGGUGUAGCGGUGAAAUGUGUAGAGAUCGGGAGGAACACCGGUGGCGAAGGCGGGUCUCUGGGCAAUUCCUGACGCUGAGGCGCGAAAGCGUGGGGAGCAAACGGG
rnacentral:rRNA from 1 species